GGACUACCGGGGUAUCUAAUCCUGUUUGCUCCCCACGCUUUCGCUGCUCAGUGUCAGUUACCUUCCAGGUCGCCGCCUUCGCCUCUGGUGUUCCUCCCAAUAUCUACGAAUUUCACCUCUACACUGGGAAUUCCGCGACCCUCUCCGGCACUCAAGCAACCCAGUUUCGCGCGCACUUUCCAGGUUGAGCCUGGAGCUUUCACACGCGACUUAAAUCGCCACCUACCAGCGCUUUACGCCCAAUAAUUCCGAACAACGCUCGCACCCUCUGUAUUACCGCGGCUGCUGGCAC
rnacentral:rRNA from 1 species